GACUGGAGUCUGCUGUGAAAUUCUGUACAUAGCAUUUAAAUCCUUCGCUAUCGGAGAUGUUCUACCUUCUGCCGGCAGGUUAAUAGGGGGUUAUUAGCCUGCCUGGAACAAAAGAUCUAACAAUAGCUUCAGGCAGGCUAAUGUCAAUUCUGUGCAAAUUUGUUUCUAUGCCCUCAACCAAUGAUUGGCAACUGGAUCAUUUUCCGGCUUUGACAGAAAAACAUCACCCCGGAGGAGAUAUAGC